rnacentral:lncRNA from 1 species
GAUGAGCCCCUGCGCGGGCAGCGCAAUGGUCUGGCCCUGCGUGGAGCCCAGGCCAGGCCCCCGGUUGACCGUCUGGCGGAUGCGCAGGAAGCGGCCGCGCUGGUUCUCCUUGAGAUCCAUGUAGUACUUGCGGUUCUCGCGCACCAGGAACUCGCUUUUGAGCGCCCGGCGCGGCUCGUCCUGCGCCUGGGCCAGGUCCGGCGGCUGGCUGGGGCCCAGCUGCGCGUAGUGCUCGAUGAAGUCGCCCAGGUAGUCGCGGAACUCCACGGCCACUGACAUGGAGAGAGUAAGGCGGCUCUUGUUGCCGCCCGCGCCCACCUCGGCGAUCUUCAGGAAGCGGCCCUUGGCGU